rnacentral:rRNA from 1 species
CAGUGGGGAAUCUUGGACAAUGGGCGCAAGCCUGAUCCAGCCAUGCCGCGUGAGUGAUGAAGGCCUUAGGGUCGUAAAGCUCUUUCGCCAGAGAUGAUAAUGACAGUAUCUGGUAAAGAAACCCCGGCUAACUCCGUGCCAGCAGCCGCGGUAAUACGGAGGGGGUUAGCGUUGUUCGGAAUUACUGGGCGUAAAGCGUACGUAGGCGGAUUAGUCAGUCAGAGGUGAAAUCCCAGGGCUCAACCCUGGAACUGCCUUUGAUACUGCUAGUCUUGAGUUCGAGAGAGGUGAGUGGAAUUCCAAGUGUAGAGGUGAAAUUCGUAGAUAUUUGGAGGAACACCAGUGGCGAAGGCGGCUCACUGGCUCGAUACUGACGCUGAGGUACGAAAGUGUGGGGAGCAAACAGGAUUAGAUACCCUGGUAGUCCACACCGUAAACGAUGAAUGCCAGUCGUCGGGCAGUAUACUGUUCGGUGACACACCUAACGGAUUAAGCAUUCCGCCUGGGGAGUACGGUCGCAAGAUUAAACCA